rnacentral:rRNA from 1 species
GAUGAACGCUGGCGGCGUGCCUAAUACAUGCAAGUCGAGCGAACGGACGAGAAGCUUGCUUCUCUGAUGUUAGCGGCGGACGGGUGAGUAACACGUGGAUAACCUACCUAUAAGACUGGGAUAACUUCGGGAAACCGUAGCUAAUACCGGAUAAUAUUUUGAACCGCAUGGUUCAAAAGUGAAAGACGGUCUUGCUGUCACUUAUAGAUGGAUCCGGGCUGCAUUAGCUAGUUGGUAAGGUAACGGCUUACCAAGGCAACGAUGCAUAGCCGACCUGAGAGGGUGAUCGGCCACACUGGAACUGAGACACGGUCCAGACUCCUACGGGAGGCAGCAGUAGGGAAUCUUCCGCAAUGGGCGAAAGCCUGACGGAGCAACGCCGCGUGAGUGAUGAAGGUCUUCGGAUCGUAAAACUCUGUUAUUAGGGAAGAACAUAUGUGUAAGUAACUGUGCACAUCUUGACGGUACCUAAUCAGAAAGCCACGGCUAACUACGUG